CAUCUGGCUUAACCUGGGACCUGGAGAAUCGAACCUGGGAGCUUAGCCUUCCCAGUGCCAAGGAGUUCACAAACUGUGAUAGUUCAUGUUGAUGGCAUGUAGAAUCACCAUGGAAACACAUCUCUGGGCAUGUCUGUAAGAGAGUUUCUACACUGGAUUCAUUGAGGCAGCGUUCUCAGACUCGACGCACACAAUCCUGAACCUAUCGCCUGUCCCUGAAACCUGUAUCUCCUCCUAGAUAACCAAGGCCAAGCUGCUCUUCUCCCACCUCCUCACUGCCAGUAUCCAGACAGGGGUGAGAGGAAUGCCCCGGAACACCUCCACAGUCCAUCCCUCUCCUGAAGACUCUAUGCCUCUGCCCCCGUUCUCAUCCGGGCCCUCACUCCCGCUGGCUUGUUGUGGGCCUCUUCACAGACUCUGGUGACCUUCAUGCACUAGUCCACAGCUGCCAGAGAUCUUUCUAAAAUUAAAAAAAAAAAAUCUC